rnacentral:rRNA from 1 species
UGGGGAAUAUUGGACAAUGGGCGAAAGCCUGAUCCAGCAAUGCCGCGUGAGUGAUGAAGGCCUUAGGGUUGUAAAGCUCUUUUACCAGGGAUGAUAAUGACAGUACCUGGAGAAUAAGCUCCGGCUAACUCCGUGCCAGCAGCCGCGGUAAUACGGAGGGAGCUAGCGUUGUUCGGAAUUACUGGGCGUAAAGCGUACGUAGGCGGUGACUCAAGUCAGAGGUGAAAGCCUGGAGCUCAACUCCAGAACUGCCUUUGAAACUAGGUCGCUAGAAUCACGGAGAGGUGAGUGGAAUUCCGAGUGUAGAGGUGAAAUUCGUAGAUAUUCGGAAGAACACCAGUGGCGAAGGCGGCUCACUGGAAGUGUAUUGACGCUGAGGUACGAAAGCGUGGGGAGCAAACAGGAUUAGAUACCCCCGUAGUCCCUGAGCGGGCUGGCAAGGCGCAU